AGCGAGGGUUAUUCUAUCGCUGAGCCGAAGGGCUGAGAGGAAAGUCCGGGCAGCACGAGCCACCAUGCUUCCUAACAGGAAGGGGCUUUGUCCUUAAGGACAAGGUAACAGAAAGCGCCACAGAAAACAAACCGCCGUUCCGUCGCCAAGGUGCUAACUUCAGGCGAGGGCACGGUAAGGGUGAAAACGCGGGGUAAGAGCCCACGACGUGACUUGGUGACAGGCACGAUGGCACGGGAGCGUAAGUCGAGUGCAGAGCAAGUCUGCUUGUUUUGCCGAGAUGUAGCGACCUGGCCGAAUGGCACGGGAGCGUAAGUCGAGCGCAGAGCAAGUUUGCUUGUUUUGCCGAGAUGUAGCGACCUCGCCGAAUGGCAAGCCUCAUGGGCUGAAAGACCAUAUAGACCGGCAGUUUUAAAGGCAGGCUCGCCUGAGUAGAGAUGCCGGAGGGUAGGUCGAUUGAGGCCGUCGGCGACGGCGGUCCAAGAUGAAUGAUAGAACGCGACAGAACCCGGCUUACAGACUUUCGCUAUUU
rnacentral:RNase_P_RNA from 1 species